UUAUAUAUAAUUAUUUGAUUAUCGAGGUAUACCUAUACGUGUAUAAUGGCGGUCCGAUGAGAUAGUAUUCCAAAUUGUAAAAGUGAAAAUUAAAUUGCGCCGUAUAGUAUAAAAUAAAUUAUUAUUAUAUAUAAAACGUAUUGUGUACAACGUGCGUAGUGCACAAUAGGCCGACUUUAUGUGUAGCGCAUUGUUACCGAUAUAUUUUUAUGAAUAAACAGACGACAAGUGCCUAUACAGU